UGGGGAAUUUUGCACAAUGGGGGAAACCCUGAUGCAGCGACGCCGCGUGUACGAUGAAGAUCUUCGGAUUGUAAAGUACUGUCCUUGGUGAAGAUAAUGACUGUAACCAAGAAGCAAGCCCUGGCUAAAUACGUGCCAGCAGCCGCGGUAAUACGUAUGGGGCAAGCGUUGUCCGGAAUUAUUGGGCGUAAAGGGUACGUAGGCGGUUAUUUAAGUCUAAAUUAAAAGGCAUUGGCUCAACCAAUGUAAGGUUUAGAUACUGGAUAACUUGAGUGGAUGAUGGGAAAGUGGAAUUCCAUGUGUAGCGGUUAAAUGCGUAGAUAUAUGGAGGGACACCAAUGGCGAAGGCAACUUUCUGGAAUCAACCUGACGCUGAGGUACGAAGGCGUAGGGAGCAAACAGG
rnacentral:rRNA from 1 species